GUUUAGUGCAAAAAGGAUUUUUCAAGGUUGUUCGGUCAGUCUAGUUAAAUUCUCAAGUGAAAUUAAUAGAUGUACAUAUGGUAGUCAUUUUCUUACUUAACCUGUUACAUGAAUAUUUUUUGCUACUUCCAGGCACUUGUAAUACCAUGUCUCUUCUCGAUUUACCCUAUGUUAAACCAGUCGUUUUCCAAACCAUUCUACGCGAACAGAUGAAAUCAGACAGCACGUGCAGACACUUGAAAAUGCCCGAGACUCGUAAAAACCAAUACAUACCUACAUACACACGUACAUCUGAGGAGUCGACUGCAUUGAUUAUCCCGGCGGAGGUCGUCAAGGCUCGUCAUACGAGUUUUCUAAUGCAUCUGCUUCUAAGUAAAUGCGCCUGAAACGAGGAGAGAGAAAGAUGGAGGGGAAAAAAAAGAAACGUGUCCCCAGACGCGGAGUGGCUACGUUAGAAAACGUGUUCAAAUGCACACGCGGCGGCGUCAGGUCUUUCCACCGUUCGUUAAAGUCGUCUCGCGACAGGCACACGAACAGCACGUAGAACAAAUAGAAUGCUGAGCGCCGAGCCCGGUGGACCUAAUCAAAUAGCCGGCGUACCUGUUUGUUAAAAUAAGCACGUGCCCGAUAGACGUAGGCGGUAGUUAACGUUAUGCGAAUUUUUACGAGCCGCACUCGCCGCGUGCUCGUUGAUAAACGUCGGAACGUGCCAAUGAGCACACCAUCACACGAUUAGGCCGAAGGUGAGACAAGAGGAACGUCACCGUCGACGCCAUUUCGCCAUAAGUACGUGUACUGAAAAAUGUAACAUUCAACGUAAGGUUCACACGUGUAUCUACUUGAAAUUACAAAGAAGCUGCCAUUAAUUUAAAACUGAACAACUCAAUUGUGAUCAUCACAAAAUCAUCACAAAAUGAUCAAUCAUCACAAAAUGAGUUGAAUUACAUGAAGUCAAGUCCAUCAACUCAAAUGAAAGAAGAUGAAUGUCGUAACGCAAUUCAAAAAUAAAGGAAAUAAGAAACUUUAUAUUUCUGAAACCAUUAGUGGUACUACGUAUGAUGUUCACAAAAAUG